GAAACUUGCAACUUGUCUUCCCAGCUGAGUUUUGCAACAGUUUUUCUUUAAAACAUCAUCAGCUGGUCAGUUUCAGUUCACACGCUCUGAGACAUGGAUAAAAGAGUGAUCUGUUGUUGUGUUAUUAUUCACAGUUCCCAGAUACUUAGAUCAGCACUCUCUUCUCUACUCUCACUCCUCUUAUUCCUCUCACUCCAGCCUCUCAGGUCAGAAUUAGUGCUUGAGGUUGUAGGAAAAUAACGAUAAAACUUUGAUCUGCACAAAGGUAAGGUCAGUCAUUCCCCACCUUUCUGACUCUGAGGGGCUGUGGUCUGAUGUUCUGCUUUCAGAAACCCACUUCCUCUAUCUUCAGACUCUCUGGGGCACUGCUAGAAUUCAGCAGUAGUUCUCUUUACUAGCGCAGCACAGCCUGAGACCUGAGAGACAGGUUUAUUCACUCGCUCUGGGAUCCGGGGAAUGACAUUGUUAUGGCGCUUCUUCAGACUGGGGUUCUGCAUCUGGGUCCCUGCAUUAUCGUCAUGCUGCUGACUUGUGGAGAUUUUUCAAAUUCAAAUAAGCUGAAAAUAGGUCACUGGAUAAACGAAACUGCGGAUGAGGGUGAAACUGUUGUUUUAUACUGUAAUGGAAGUUAUGAUAGUGGAGAAGAUUUUGUUUGGCGUAAGGAUGGGAAUCUUCUUUUUAUCUACAGCCCCUUUAUUAACCAAACUGUAUCAAACUACACAUCAAGUAGUAUGAGUGUAGAUCCCAGAGAUCCACGGAAACUACAGAUAUCUAACGUUCAGCCUUCAGAUUCAGGAACCUAUAUAUGCACCCCAUCAAGAAUUAUAUGGAUUCUGACCAUCAAUGGCACACAUAAUAAUAUUCCAGGAUAUUUAAAAAAAACGAUCCUGUACACGGUCUCCUCAGCUGCAGGAGCUGUUGCAGUAUUCUGUAUUAUCCUCUGCACUGUGUGGAUUCACAGCAGCAGCCACAUGGAAGAAGAAUGGACAACGUUCAGGACAGACAGUAUUUUGAGAGAUUUAAUUCUUUAUAUGGACAAAUUGUCUCAUGAACCUGGUAAGCACUUUUUACGUGUUAAUGCUUUAAAAUAUUGCAUAUAUAAAGAGAUAGGAAAGCUCUUAUAAG
rnacentral:lncRNA from 1 species